AGGAGCCGGAAGGGAGAACUGGGCACCAUUCGGACUGAAGUUGCCGAAGGAGCAUUACAUGAUAUGCGCUGCUAUUUUUCGUCCACUUCUGCAGCUGGGACUGAUUAGAUGGAGACUGCCAUUGAUUGGACAGAGCUACCUGAGCUGAUGAAGAAAAGAGGGACACGCGUGUGAGAAAGGAGCGCGGGGGGAGAGGAAGCAGAGGAGUGACAGAGAGGGGCCGCGAGGAGAACUGGGGACAGACGGGGACAAAGUGGAGUGACACAAGAGUGGGCCGAGAGAAAAAAGGUCUCCGCUACACGCAGUAAAGGGCGCCGAUUCGAGGGGAGAGGACGGAGGCGGACUGAGUCGGGUUGUGGCUGCACGGAGACAGGAGCUGAGGGCUGAAGGAGCGAUGAACGCCGAGGAGGAUUGAUACAACGCAGAUUCCCAGAUAAGUGAAGGGACGCGAGCCAUCCUACCCAGCAGUGUGUGUGUGGUUGGUUGUUUUUCUGGUGUGCCGAAAAUUGAGUGACGCUCCCUCUUCCACAGCGCUGCAGUAUGUCGGGACCAGCCGUGAGGAGGACUCGGAGGUACGGAGGCCAAGGAGGAAGUGUGCUGCACGUCACUCAUCAACCUGCGUCCCCUGCCCCCAGAGAAGAAUCCCCCCAAAAAAGGCUAUUGCACCAGCCAAGAUAAGCAUAGCCUCAAAAAGACCCGUGUGCCCUGGUUUAUUCAGUUUGAUGCUUCCUAACAGGACUGUUUUAAUAGAUCUCUGUAGGAUUUUAGUCCAUGUUGUUAAGAAAUUAUUUUAUCUUGGGUUGUUGUUUUAAGACGUAGGAAAUAAAUUUCCCUUAUUGCUUA